rnacentral:lncRNA from 1 species
UCGUCUGCAGGCUAUAUGUGAUGUUCUGUGGCUUAGCGAGCAGGGGUCGAUAACAUCCAGACUCAGCCAAAACCAGAUCGCCCUGAACAGUAUGUAAUUGGCCUGUAUAAUUGGUUCCACACUCUGCUGUAGUAGGAGUGAAGGUAGAAGACCCUCAUGCUGUAGGGUAAACUGAGCCAACCACGGGUGCAACACUCCUGUCCACUGCCGUACCGGUGGAGCGCCCGCAGCAUGAGCCGCUCUCUGGCUUUAUUUGCUGGCAUCAGUGCCAAGCUCUCCUUGGCGUUCCCUGAUCAAAGAGAACAGUUAGUAGUUCUUAGACGCACUGGAACUGAACUAUAUUAAGCAACAGUUAUCAGCAUGUAUUGAAAUCACCAAUGUUAUGUUUCGCUUAAUGUUUAUCUAUUUUUUAUAGCAAAGUGGUCAACAUUAAUUUUGUUUAAUUGAGCUUUACAAAUAAAUUUCGAUGCUCAAAUAU